AGUGAUCGCUGGCGGCGUGCUUAACACAUGCAAGUCGAGCGAAUUUCGACAGUGUAUCGUCGGAGUUAGCGGCAGACGGGUGAGUAAUACUUGGGUAAUCUACCCUUGAGAGGGAAACAACCUGCCGAAAGGCGGGCUAAUGUCCCAUAAGACCACAGGAAUGCAUAUUCCAGAGGUCAAAGCUCCGCAAGGGGCGCUUGAGGAGGAACCCGAGUCCUAUCAGGAGUUGGUGAGGUAACGGCUCACCAAGCCUAUGACGGGUAGCCGACCUGAAAGGGUGACCGGCCACACUGGCACUGAGACACGGGCCAGACUCCUACGGGAGGCAGCAGUGGGGAAUUUUGGACAAUGGGGGCAACCCUGAUCCAGCGACGCCGCGUGGAGGACGAAGGUCUUCGGAUUGUAAACUCCUUUUGGAGGGGAUGAAUGCCUACGUGAAAAACGUAGGGUGACAGUACUCUCUGAAUAAGCCACGGCUAACUACGUGCCAGCCGCCGCGGUAAU
rnacentral:rRNA from 1 species